rnacentral:lncRNA from 1 species
CUUCUACUGAUGGAGAGGAGAAGCAGCAGAUGAACUCAUAUUAGAAUUACCUUCUCCGCUUAAAGAUUCAUCGACGCUUUUUCCAUGUUGUUUUGAACCACUGCUGCUUGAGCUAUGACCAUUUGUUUUGUCAUUGGAAUCCUGAAGUUGUUCCAACGAUCUCACCACCUCGUCAAUGUUUGGUCUAUAUUUUUGUUCUGCCGACAGACAUCGAAUUGCAACAUGAGCUACUUUAAUUGCUUCACGCGAUGAGUAUUGGCCUUCUAUACGAGCAUCCAUAACUUGAGAAAUCUUACGUUUGCUCAUGAGUAAUGGCUUGGCCCAUGCAACUAAAUCAUGCUCUCCAGACGGUCGGUUUUUAUCCAAUACACGCUUGCCUGACAUAAUUUCUAGGAGAACAACCCCGAAACUGUAGACAUCGCUCUUUUUAGUUAGGUGACCUUCACAAAAAAGAUAACAAAAAAAAAAAGGUUAGGAAUGAAAUUGUAGUUUUUUUUCCCCAUUCUGUUGUUGUAAGAUGUAAUAAUCACUACUGACUAUAGACCUUACUAAAGCGAGGACUAGCAGCACAUAGUAGUUGGGGAGGGGAAGUGAAAUCAUGUAGUGAAUACAUGGUUCUGUGGUGAAGAAAAUCGAUUUCAAAUGAAUGGAUUGUGGUAAAAAAAAAAUGAGUUGAGUGUAUAAUGAUUUGUUUGUAGCAUUCACGAAAAAUUGAUUUUUAUUAAUUCAAGUUGGAAUGGUUUAGAUGAUUGAGUGUGUAUGUAUUUGACAUUUUUAAUAAAUUUGAGAAUUGAUUUUAUUUCAUCACAAAGCUAGAAAUCUAAGCUUUUUGGAAAAAUUGACUUUGGGACUGGAUCAAUAUAGGGGACCAAACGCCAAGCAUAACUAAUUUGUGGUCAAACCAUGUUUUACGACUUCUGUGUCUGGCCGUGAAUUCAAACAUUGGCAUACUAAAAGUGGAGGGUUUUUGUCAGCAUUGCUUGUUGAAUUUGAAUUAAAAUGUAGACAGCAUCUGAGUCUAAAUACAAUAAAGUAAACUGUAAUUUCCAUUAGAGGAAGCUGGAUGUAUGUCGGAAGAAUUAAAUGUCAAUUCGAACGAGUAGAUACUAUCUUUUUCCUAGCUGUUUCAACAUAAUGCAAAUAAUAUAUUGGUCAUAAAUUGUUCAGGAAAUAUAUAACUUCCAGGUCCAAAUUUCUCAUCCACUAUCAUAUGAUGAAAUAUAUUAGUAGUAAUGCAAAAAUAAUUUGAUGAUACCUGUGGCCAAAUACUCAGGCGCUGCAUAGCCUGGGGUGCCCAUUAUCCUUGUAGAGACAUGACUCUUACCACCUUCUGGUCCAUCUUUUGCCAUCCCAAAAUCUGAGAGCUUUGCAUUAUAGUUCUAAUCAAUCAAGAUGUUAGAAGUUUUGAAGUCUCGAUAUAUCACUUCGACUUCAUCACUGUGAAGAAAUGCAAGACCCUUAGCAGAAUCAAGAGCUAUCUUCAUUCGGAUUUUCCAAGAGAGUGGCUGAAAGUAAG